UCGCAGUGGGGUUGGNGGUAAAGUUUUUCGGUGGGGGAUGGGCUCGCGGCCUAUCAGCUUGUUGGUGGGGUAGUGGCCUACCAAGGCUUUGACGGGUAGCCGGCCUGAGAGGGCGACCGGCCACACUGGGACUGAGAUACGGCCCAGACUCCUACGGGAGGCAGCAGUGGGGAAUAUUGCACAAUGGACGAAAGUCUGAUGCAGCAACGCCGCGUGCGGGAUGAAGGCCUUCGGGUUGUAAACCGCUUUCACCAGGGACGAAUGUGACGGUACCUGGAGAAGAAGCACCGGCUAACUACGUG
rnacentral:rRNA from 1 species